CCUACGGGUGGCAGCAGUGAGGAAUAUUGGUCAAUGGGCGGAAGCCUGAACCAGCCAAGUCGCGUGCAGGAUGACGGCCCUACGGGUUGUAAACUUCUUUUAUAAGGGAAUAACGCGCCUUACGUGUAGGGCUUUGCAUGUACCGUAUGAAUAAAGACCGGCUAAUUCCGGUCCAGCAGCCGGGGUAAUACGGAGGAUUCAAGCGUUAUCCGGAUUUAUUGGGGUUAAAGGGUGCGUAGGCGGUCGGAUAAGUUAGAGGUGAAAUCCCGAGGCUCAACUUCGGAAUUGCCGCUGAUACUGUUCGGCUAGAGAGUAGUUGCGGUAGGCGGAAUGUAUGGUGUAGCGGUGAAAUGCUUAGAUAUGACGAAGAACCCCGAUUGCGAAGGCAGCUUGCUGCAGCGGAACUGACGCUGAUGCUCGAAAGCGCGGGUAUCGAACAGGAUUAGAUACCCCGGUAGUC
rnacentral:rRNA from 1 species